GUGUUUUUAUGGGUGCAAAGGCUCUAAUAGUUGGUGCCUAAAGGAUCUCCUAAAGGGAGUCAAAUAACUAAAAGAAUAAGGAUUCCUAAUGCAAGUAGGACUUGUAUUAAGUGAUUAUUUGAUUUUGAAUAGGAUUCAAAUCUUAUGCCUAUUUAAAGGGGCCUUUUCUAAGGUCUCUAGGUACUUCAACCUGCAGCCCCACACCCC
rnacentral:lncRNA from 1 species